GGACCUGCGGGCAGAAGAGGAGCAGCUUCAGGUUUCUCUUCUGUAAGGUGGGGUUAGGAUGUCUACCCCUCCCUAAUGGAGUACCUGGAGGGGGUAAAAGUGAGAGGACCUGGCAUGCAGUCAAAACUUACAUGUAAUAAUCAUCUCCAGGGACGACUCAGUCCCAGCCAAGGCUGGGAAUUGCUCUGGCAACAUUUCAGGAAGUUUCCCCUCCAGACCCAAGUCAGGACAAGACUGAUAAUCUCUCAAACAUCAGUUACUCUGCAUGUGGGACACCAGUGUCCAGUGUGCUGUCAUAGUUGGUAUUGGAUUCCCCUGAUCCCCAGAUAUUACACCACAAGGAUGUGGGCAACACUUCACAGAAGUACCGUGUUCCCAAGAACAGGCCCUGCUUCUGCCCUUUGUGCAUUUUAAAGAACUUUCUUGUUCCCUCUUGACUCCAUGAUGACCCUGUCAGGGAGGUGAGGGGCAUGCUACCCUCAUUUUACAAAUGUGGAAGCUGAGGUCUGAAGAGAGCAUGCGGACUGGGACAGGUGCUGCCAGACCUUCAGGAACCACUGGCCGGCAUUGAGCCUCUGCAAGAAGGUCCAGUUGAGCAUGGAGGCAGGCCUGCGGGCAAGCUCCGGGAACUCCUCCUCCACGUUGGUGGUGCGUCGCAGGGUGGUGUCGUGCAUGAGGAAGGGCACACCGUCCAGGCUGUGGGAGGGUUGGGGCCAUGGGGUCACUGCCCACCUAGGUCCCUCACCUGCCCCUCCCACACACUCCUCCUCGCCCACCUAUACCAACCUACCAGGCAGGCUCUGCCCCUCUCUAGGUCUUAGGUUCCCAUCUGCAGAGGGAGGUCAGUGGACUAAAUGACUCCCUCUGGCUCUCUCUGAGGGUCAGACAGGCGUGGGGACUGCUGAGGAGGGAAGAGCUGGGCCUAUUCUCUUAGCAGUCUUGGAAGGUAGGUGCUAUCUCAUUUGAUAAUGGGGAAACUGAGGCUGGAGAGGGCAGUAUCUAACUGAAGGCCCACCAGAAAAAUAAAUGGUAAAACUUGGCUUAGAACCCACUCCACAUGAAGCCACUAUCAGAAUAGUGCAAAUGCAAGCCCUUUUGACAGAUUCCACCCUACCAUUAUCCUGGUCUACCUUGCUGGGGUUACCAGUAGCCCCAUAAAGUAGCUUAGUGUGAAACAGUACAAGGCAUCUGUGCUCCCCUUCCUCAAGGAGUUUUUCUACCAUCUGCUAGAAAGUUUUGAUAAAUACACAAUUCUGUGUCUAUAAUGGGAAUCAUGUCCUCACAUAUGUGGUGCCCUUGUUCAAUACACAACCUGUGGACCUAUAAGUGGCAGCCCUGUCCCUCUCCUCUUCUCCGAGAUGUUAUCAGAUCAGUGUGGAUUCUCCUUGCCCUUUACACUAACACAUACUUACAUAUCUUACAUAUCUAUGUGUAGAAAAUGUAUAAAUCAUUUUUAAGUGAUCCUUAAAAAUGUAACUGACAUCACAGUGAAUGUAUCACUCUACAACUUGCAUAUUUCACUCAUCACAAUGUUUGAGCUCCAUCUCGCUGAGCCAUAUAGAUAUAGUCUUUAUAUUAAGUGGAUCUGUGGCAGGACUCCAGGUCCUCACCUCAGCCCUGCUUGAACCAAAAGUGUCUUUUUCCCCCCUCCGUUUUAUAUCCUGGAAUUUGGCACAAUAUUUAUUUGCACUAACAUGGUGCCCUGCAGUGGAUAAUCCUAGCCUCUGCUCUCCCACCUCCAAGGCUCUGGGACCAGAGGUUUCUCCAGUAGAUACCUGGAUGUGGAUGUGCUGAGGAGAGGAAGAGGUGCUGUCCUCCGGGCCGCCACACCUACCUGAUGGUGAUGUCAGCCUGGACUCCAUACAGCUUCUGCUCUAGCGCCUUCCUGAAGGACAUCAGCGUGUGCUCUGGGGCGAGCUGGGGAGGAAGGUGGUGGGGAGGGUUGAAAUUUAACUGAUGUACUCUUCCCCAGUCAAUGGGAAAUCUUCCAUGUUAGGAGGCUGGUGUAGGCCUGGUUCCAGUUCUCACUCCUCCAAGCAGUAGCUGUGGGGCCCUGGGCACCUACACAGCUUCUCUGAAGCUCAGUUUCCUCAUCUGUUAAAUCACACCUGCCUCACAGGUUUGAGGGGAGAGACAGGGGUGGCUAGUGUUGAUGUAUAUAAAUGUGGGGGUGGGAGGGUUUUUUUUUGUACAGUCCUCUGCCUGUAUGCAGUCUUGGGCUGGGCUGAAUGCCAAGUUUCCUCCUAAUUAUACCCUGAGUCCAGGUGGAGAUUCCCAAAGGGAGAGGAGAGGGAAGGUAGUAUGGCAGAGUGUCAGUCAGGUGACCCAUUCCCACAUAUAUAUAAACAUGACAAGACUAUCUCCUGGAGUGUUAUAAGGAUUAAAAGCCCCUAACACGUUGCCUGACAUAUAGCAAGUGCUUAAUAAAUGACAACUGUUAACCCUA